CCGAGUACAAUUAAAUCUAGUAUACGCCGCGUUCGGCGACGGAGUUGUUUGUAGAGCGAUUGGCGGACACAGAAUAAAAGCGCGAAUCUGGCCAGUCGUUCAAUUUAAAACAAAAGUUAGCCGUUGCCAGUGAAGUGAGCCUCUAUCUCGAUCCCAAAGCUCUCGGAAUCUCGGAGCUCGCUCGAGUACCGCCUAAGCCCCUCGAUCUCCACCGAUCUCGCCGUGGAACGUUCGCACUUGGCAAUGGCACUGGUUAAGCAUGAGCAUUAACAUUGAGUCAGACAUUCGCCUCAGGCCGGGGUGAAUCGGGGUUCACGGUCGCGGCCCAGACAGCAAAACGUGAGAGAUGGGCCAAAAACCGGAGACAGACGACAUAUGUCGGCCGAUAAAGACGUCAGCGAUCUGUAGGCCAGUACUUAGAGCUCUUAUCGCCAAGAUAAACCCAACAUAAGGGGGAGUUUUCGCUUCCAUAAACGCCUUUAGCGGUGAUUCGCAAAAAAUCUUGGUGCUAUUUAACCCUCUAGUCAUUAUUUUUAGCCAUCUUAUUAGGCAACAAAAGCCGAAACAGUUAAAAAGCCACAUCGUUUUUAAGAUAAAUCCUAAAAUAAAUUUGAGACUAAGGGAUUUCUUAUCACUACAACCUAAUAGACAUUUUAAGAGGGUCAGCACUAAAGAUAAAUUUAUUUAUCUGCAAAAUUUGUAUACAAAGGUAUAUAAACUCUUUUUAUAUAUAAAAGUCUUAUUAGACUUUCAAUUUUAUGAAAAAAACCAAUGUUAUUGUAAUUUUAAAACAACCCACAAGUCAAAAGCUUCCAUUUCUGUAUAACUCAAAGCUUUAACAGCAAAGAUAAAAUAUGUUUUCGGGUAAAAAUGUUGUAAGUAUUAUUACAGAUAUUUUGUUAAGACUAGGCUGGACAUUUAGGGCCUAAAGCACUUACGUUCUCUGUCGUCGCCAUGGCAGAAAUCGAGAAGUCGAGGAACCUUUCACCCUGACCAAGCCGGGACCAACUGAACCGAUCCGACCCGCGGAUUAUCCGAUGGCGAUGCAAACGAGCCGAGCCAACCCCAAUAUAAUAAUAAUAAAUCAGCUUUCAUCAGUGGCGCAGAGGUGUCCCAAAUGGGUUUCGCUCUUUGGUGCGCAAUUCUCCGUGAUUAAACCAACGCAUAGUGCCUAAAACAGUUUAGAGCCUCAAAUUGAGAAUAACAAAGCAAUUUUUCAAUUGAGCUGCCACAAAUUUACACGCUUCCAUGAUAUAUGGGUGGGCAGAACCCGCUCUACAUAGCAUAUAUGUUUGCUGUAUUUCAAUCUGAAAGUAAAAGUCGGGGAAAUUGGCGAGGCCAAAGGGCAGGCGACCACCUGACCCAUUCGAGGGUGACUCUAGACCAACAGGGAAAUGGACCAGCAAAUGCGAAUGCAAAUGGAGAGGAGAUCUCUGGGCCAGCGGCACGUGUUCUUUGUUUAGUGACACCAAACAGGGCAGCGCAAGUUCAGGGCGAAAUCAAUUUCCCUUGCCCGUAUUAUGUGAGCUGUAAGUGGUUUGGAGUGCACUGGAAAAAAUAUUGUAUACAAUUUUAAAUUUAUUUUUUAAAAAUUAUAGG